AGUGAACGCUGGCGGUAGGCCUAACACAUGCAAGUCGAACGGCAGCACAGUAAGAGCUUGCUCUUACGGGUGGCGAGUGGCGGACGGGUGAGGAAUACAUCGGAAUCUACUUUUUCGGGGGGGAUAACGUAGGGAAACUUACGCUAAUACCGCAUACGACCUACGGGUGAAAGCAGGGGAUCUUCGGACCUUGCGCGAUUGAAUGAGCCGAUGUCGGAUUAGCUAGUUGGCGGGGUAAAGGCCCACCCAGGCGACGAUCCGUAGCUGGUCUGAGAGGAUGAUCAGCCACACUGGAACUGAGACACGGUCCAGACUCCUACGGGAGGCAGCAGUGGGGAAUAUUGGACAAAGGGCGCAAGCCUGAUCCAGCCAUACCGCGUGGGUGAAGAAGGCCUUCGGGUUGUAAAGCCCUUUUGUUGGGAAAGAAAAGCAGCAGGUUAAUACCCCGCUGUUCUGACGGUACCCAAAGAAUAAGCACCGGCUAACUUCGUG
rnacentral:rRNA from 1 species